UUUGUAGAACGCGUGUUUCCGCAGUUGAGCACUGAUAUUGCAGAGUGGAGACCAGACAAUAGGCUGUCAAUCACCCAGGGAGAAGAGGGUGGUCUACAGCCGACUGCGUGCCGACAACAUCUGGGCCAGGAAGAAGUCAAGAAGGCUUCCAAUGAUUCCAGGUGGCAUCUAUAGCUCCAAGUCAGAAGCCCAGCCACUGGGAGAUGACAGCCCCCAAGCCCUGCCUGAGUUAGAGGAGCUAUCGAACUCCGGGAGUGACAGAAACGCAUUGGUGUUCAUCUGGGGAAUCUCAAACAAAGCAGCCCAGAGGAAAAGCAUCACUGCCAAUGAAGGCUUGUUUCACUCGGAACAGGAAAAGCUGCAUCGACGCCCGGAGCCUGUGCACAGGCUGGGCAGAAGCAAAGGGAGGCUGAGGCUGCUGCGUAGGCUACCCUUUAAGGACAGGCAUUUCAC